rnacentral:rRNA from 1 species
UACAGAGGUCUCAAGCGUUGUUCGGAUUCAUUGGGCGUAAAGGGUGCGUAGGUGGCGCUGUAAGUCGGGUGUGAAAUUUCGGAGCUUAACUCCGAAACUGCAUUCGAUACUGCGCGGCUAGAGUGCUGGAGGGGAGACUGGAAUUUACGGUGUAGCAGUGAAAUGCGUAGAUAUCGUAAGGAAGACCAGUGGCGAAGGCGAGUCUCUGGACAGCAACGUGACGCUGAGGCACGAAGGCCCAGGGGAGCAAACGGG